rnacentral:lncRNA from 1 species
GGUCGUUCACCUUCCUCGGGGGCUGCGCGCUCAGGAACCACAUGAUUUCCUGGGAGGUCCCACUCACUCUUGGCAAAAAAAACCAGAAACACAAACCAAAAACGAAACUGCUUGAUUUUUUGGGGGCUGAAGGGCGAGCUGCCUCCCAGCACCAUGGGGAUUCUCCUCAGGCAGGACAGCGGAGAAGGGAUGGAGGGCUACCACCCCCAGUGCCCCCACCCCGCCAAGAGAGCCUGGGUGACGUACGUGGCCGUGGUUCUUGGGGUGGCCGUGGUGGCACUGGUGGCAGCCCUUGUCACCGUCCUCUACCAGAGAGCCGAGGGCUCCGCCAUGGCGAGGAACAGCUCGGAAGUGCUGGUGCAGCUGGAGAAGGCACUGGAUGUCACCAACCAGUCCCUCGUCGAUGCCCGCGGGCGGUGGGAAGGGUGCAGGAAGCAGCUGGUAGGUGUUGGGGUGCUGCUUGGUGGGUGGAGGGGGGCAGGACCCUGUGGGGGAAAACUCUAGCCCCCCCCCCAGACCCAAACUGGCCACCUUUGGGUGGUGUGAGGGACAACCCGAGUUGGAGGGUCCAGCCCCUUCCUUCUGCCCAGGGUGCGCUGGAGGGAAAGGCCUUGGAACUGGAGUGGGCACUGGCCAAUGUCACCGAGCUGCAAGGUGAGUCCUGGGCAGGGUGGGGGGCGUGGGCAAUGGCCCCUGGGCCACCCUGAACCCCCUUCCCUCAGUCACCUUCAUCCCCAUCCCCUGGAAGACUCUUAUUCCCAUCCCCUGAGACACCCUGAUCCCUGUCCCCUUGGUCAUCCUGGUCCCCAUCCCCUGGGUCAUCCCCAUCCCCUGGGACACUCUCCUUCCUGUCCCCUGGGCCACCCUGAUCCCUGUCCCCUGUGUCAAUGUGGUCCCCACCCCCAUGACCACCAUGACCACCAUGAUCCCCAUCCCCUGAGACACCCUGAUCUCCAUCCCCUGGGUCAUCCUGAUCCCCAUCCCCAUGGCCACCCUCAUCCCCAUCUCCUGCAACACCCUCAUCCCUGUCCCCUCUGUCAUCCUGAUCCCUGUCCCCUUGGCCACCCUGGUCCCUGUCCCCUUGGCCAUCCUGGUGUCACCUCAGAGGAGAACAGGGCGCUCAAGGCGGAGGUGGCCCAGCAGCAGGAGCAACUGAGAGACCUGCAGAGCAAAUGGGAGAAGCUCCAGCUGCAGAACCAGAUCCUGGAGAACCAGCUCUGGGACAUGAGGAGCCAGCACUCGAAUGGGAACAGUCUCCAGGCCACGUCCCUCAGCCUCCUGGCUCUCCUCCUCCUCCUCCUCCCUGGGAUGCUCCUCCUGUGAGGGAGGGCAAGAACAUGGGCCCCACUGAUUCCUGACCCCCGAUGUGGGGUGAGGAGGGACCAUCCCCAUCCAGCCCGGUGGGGUCUGGGGGUGGCAGCGGGUUCAGUGCCACCCGUGGGAGCCCAGUGCCCGCUCAGCCCUGCCCUGUGACUGCCCACACUGUCCUGUACCCCCCCUGCACCUUCUCUCUGCUCACCAAACUGCCCCCCUUCACCCUGGGGACACCCCAGGGAUGUGAUUUCCCUCCAGCCACCAAGCACUGGCUCUUCCUAGGGUGAGGGAGGGGACAAGUGGACGGGCUGGAGGGGACAGAGACGUGUCAGGGCUGCUCUGAGUCGAGGGGACCACAAGCUCUACCCCAUUAGGUCAUUUUUUCAUUUUUACCCCAUUUCCAAUAAAACCUUUGUGAAACCCCA